UGCCAGCCGCCGCGGUAAGACAGAGGGUGCAAACGUUGUUCGGAAUUACUGGGCGUAAAGCGCGUGUAGGCGGCUUCGUAAGUCGGAUGUGAAAUCCCGCGGCUCAACCGUGGAAGUGCACCCGAAACUGCGAGGCUAGAGUAUCGGAGAGGAAGGUGGAAUGCUUGGUGUAGAGGUGAAAUUCGUAGAUAUUCGGAGGAACACCAGUGGCGAAGGCGGCUUUCUGGACCGAUACUGACGCUGAGACGCGAAAGCGUGGGGAGCAAACAGGAUUAGAUA
rnacentral:rRNA from 1 species